rnacentral:lncRNA from 1 species
CCUUAGUUAAGCUGGCUAGGGGUUGUUCGACAGCAGUUGCAAAGUGCAGGAACUACUUAAGUUAGCAUCAGUAAGUGUUAAUCCAUCGUUGUAGUAACAAUUUUAAAUUUAUAUAAUUUAUUGCAUGACACAAUUAAUGUAACACAUAUUGUUAUAUUUUAACUAUAGUAUACUAGACCCGGUCGCUAAACACACCUUACAUUUUAUCUGUUUGACGCACCUCCCGACCGAGUGCAUGCGCUACAACCAGUACGCACAGUACGAUGCAUGAUUUAUGCAGACUGUCUUGCGAGAGUUUCACGAAAUUUAAUAAGUUUAUAUUAAUUAGUUAUAUAUUAGUACAUAGUUGUUGCCUAAGAAAUUAAUUGUUCCUAACUUUUAAACUUUUGUUAUAGACUUAUUAUAAAUAUGACGAGGGCAUCUCUCAGGCAGCUAGUGACGAUGUUAUUAUUGCACAUGUCGCUGCGAAUUACUCCAGCUGGCUGUAUGAGAUGUGUCGGAGGGCAACCUGGGCAGUUGAUGACUAACCCAAGAACACCAUCAUAGAUCAGCAGCCCCACAGUCUCCGAUUUAGCAUGGCAGGCUAUGUGUGCGUAUUGGGAUGAUGAUGACUUCAAGAAGAAGUCUGAGCAUGCAAAAAAGAACCAUUCCAGCUCCGCAUAGUACACACGACUGGCUCGUAGUCUUUCCAGAAGGCGAAGUCGGUAAGUGUAAUAUUUUUAGGUGUUUAGUUAUAAGGAUAACACUAAUCUUACUUUUGAGUAAUCUCAAUAUUCACUCCUUAAUAAAAUGAUAUAAUUAACUCACGUAUACAAAAUAAAUUACAUGACCGAUUUGAGUAGCUUCGGGACCAGCGUAUAGCUUAGUUGGAGGCUGCUAGAGGGGGUUCUGAGCUGUUAGAUUUCACCAUCCCCCCUCUCGAGAUUGUAUUAUCUAAGGAUAAGGAGCUAAGAUUAUGGGUCGCGUCUCAGGAUCCCCCUGCUAGCAGUACCGAUAGGUAUCGAGUGUUGGGCCUAUCGAGGAUACCUGUAUAUACACUACCUAGACGUAAUAAUAUUUUUUAUGUUUCACGGAAUUAUCAUAACUUAUCAUAUAAUAUAAAUUAUUAUUAGUAAUGUUAUAUAUAUUUUCGCAGGCUCUAACUAGCGCCAGCAUCCAAGAGCACCUAUUGGAUCAUCUCAUACGGGCGCUGGCUUGGACGACGAGUUAUUCUAGAGGCUGAUAGCGGCGGUAUCGGAUAGGUUCCAUAUCGAUCUGAUAUUUCGUCGUCACCAAUUGCCUAGUAGUUCUCUAAUUCUUCACCAGCUCACUCAAAAGGUUCUAGUAAGGGCCACAAUAGAGAGUACGGGAUUACCAGAGGAGCCAUUUGUCAUGUUAAGCGGCGAGAUGCUCGGGAUGAUGGUUAACCUCCUAGAGCAGGCUUUUUGUCAGCCCCCGCCUACUCAAGUAUUCUGCAUGUUUAUGUUAUUUUCAUUUAACAGUAUCUUUUUAAUUCUCACAUAUAUAAAGACUAAUGAUUUUUAUUUUUAAUUCUAUCAACAGGGUGGCUAUAGCGAGUAGACUGACGAUGGCAACCGAGGACAACAAAGCUGAUUUUUAUAUACCUGAGCAGUAUCGUCGUCCACCCCCGCACGAUGAUGAUCCGACUACUAGUUUAUAGUUCAUUUGUAUUCAUUUUAUUCAUUAAAUUGUAGAUCAUUUGUUCAUAUAUUGUAGUAUAGUUGCGUCUAUACAAGUUUUGUAAAUCAUAUUGUAUAUAAUUUAUGAAACAUUAGCUUAUAUAUAUUUGUAAUUG